rnacentral:rRNA from 1 species
UACGUAGGGUGCAAGCGUUGUCCGGAAUUAUUGGGCGUAAAGAGCUCGUAGGCGGUUUGUCGCGUCUGCUGUGAAAACUCGGGGCUUAACCCCGGGCCUGCAGUGGGUACGGGCAGACUAGAGUGCGGUAGGGAGACUGGAAUUCCUGGUGUAGCGGUGAAAUGCGCAGAUAUCAGGAGGAACACCGGUGGCGAAGGCGGGUCUCUGGGCCGUAACUGACGCUGAGGAGCGAAAGCGUGGGGAGCGAACAGG